CCUACGGGAGACAGCAGUGGGGAAUAUUGCGCAAUGGGGGAAACCCUGAUGCAGCGACGCCGCGUGAGUGAAGAAGUAAUUCGUUAUGUAAAGCUCUAUCAGCAGGGAAGAAAAUGACGGUACCCACAGAGGAAGCACCGGCUAACUCCGUGCCAGCAGCCGCGGUAAUACGGAGGGUGCAAGCGUUGUCCGGAAUCAUUGGGCGUAAAGAGUUCGUAGGCGGUAUGUUAAGUCUGGUGUUAAAUGCAGAAGCUCAACUUCUGUUCGGCACUGGAUACUGGCAAACUAGAAUGCGGUAGAGGUAAAGGGAAUUCCUGGUGUAGCGGUGAAAUGCUUAGAUAUCAGGAGGAACAUCGGUGGCGUAAGCGCUUUACUGGGCCGUAAUUGACGCUGAGGAACGAAAGCCAGGGUAGCAAAUGGGAUUAGAUACCCCAGUAGUC
rnacentral:rRNA from 1 species